rnacentral:rRNA from 1 species
GAUCAUGGCUCAGAUUGAACGCUGGCGGCAUGCUUUACACAUGCAAGUCGAACGGUAACAGGUUAAGCUGACGAGUGGCGAACGGGUGAGUAAUGCAUCGGAACGUGCCCAGUCGUGGGGGAUAACGCAGCGAAAGCUGUGCUAAUACCGCAUACGAUCUAUGGAUGAAAGCGGGGGACCGUAAGGCCUCGCGCGAUUGGAGCGGCCGAUGUCAGAUUAGCUAGUUGGUGGGGUAAAGGCCCACCAAGGCGACGAUCUGUAGCUGGUCUGAGAGGACGACCAGCCACACUGGAACUGAGACACGGUCCAGACUCCUACGGGAGGCAGCAGUGGGGAAUUUUGGACAAUGGGCGCAAGCCUGAUCCAGCAAUGCCGCGUGCAGGAAGAAGGCCUUCGGGUUGUAAACUGCUUUUGUACGGAACGAAACGGUCUGGGCUAAUACCCCGGGCUAAUGACGGUACCGUAAGAAUAAGCACCGGCUAACUACGUG